UUUUCAAAAAAUACAGUAUUUAAAUUGAUUUUAACUGUGUUGCAGGAAUAUUAACUGAACUGGAAGUUAGUCAGUGUUUGCUGAAUUUUGUUAUUUGCUAGUAAUUACAGGUGUGGGGGUAGCCACAUUCUUUGAUUUCCUGUCCUUGCCUAUUUAAGUGGUACAGUGUGAAAUAUUUUCUGCU